rnacentral:piRNA from 1 species
CGAUUCCCGGCCAAUGCAAAGAG